AGCAGAAAAUGGGGGCGGGGCGGUGCCUGCAGGCCCGAAACCCCCAAGGGCUUGAGAGGAGACAGGAGAUCUGAGACAGGCCGGCUAAAGCGGACACAGGCACCUGGGCAAGCUUCCCUGAAGAAGCCAAGAUCAUCUUUGUCCCAUUUAUUUAUUCUCUUUCCUCUACCUUGGAGGGACUCUCAUCUUGUGCCCAGACCUCAGCCUCCUCUCCAAACUCGGCUGAGGGUGACCUGCUUCUGGGCCCCCAUCUGCACAGACACCGACUUCCAGCCCACAGGCCUCAGCCCAGGCGCUCGUGCCCUCACCAUGGUGAAGCUGCUGCCUGCCCAGGAGGCCGCCAAGAUCUACCACACCAACUAUGUGCGGAACGCCAGGGCUGUCGGCGUGAUGUGGGGCACGCUCACCAUCUGCUUCUCCGUGCUGGUCAUGGCCCUGUUCAUCCAGCCCUACUGGAUCGGGGACAGCGUCAACACACCCCAGGCAGGCUACUUCGGCCUUUUUUCCUACUGUGUGGGCAACGUGCUCUCCUCUGAGCUCAUCUGCAAGGGUGGCCCUUUGGACUUCUCCUCCAUCCCCUCUAGAGCCUUCAAGACUGCCAUGUUCUUUGUGGCCUUGGGCAUGUUCCUCAUCAUUGGCUCCAUCAUCUGCUUCAGCCUGUUCUUCGUCUGCAACACUGCCACAGUCUACAAGAUCUGCGCGUGGAUGCAGCUGGCUGCAGCCACAGGCCUGAUGAUUGGCUGCCUGGUCUACCCAGAUGGUUGGGACUCCAGCGAGGUGCGGCGCAUGUGUGGGGAGCAGACCGGCAAGUACACGCUGGGCCACUGCACCAUCCGCUGGGCCUUCAUGCUGGCCAUCCUGAGCAUUGGAGACGCCCUCAUCCUCUCCUUCCUGGCCUUCGUGCUGGGCUACCGGCAGGACAAGCUGCUCCCUGACGACUACAAGGCCGAUGGACAAGAGGAAGUCUGAGGCAGCUGCAGGGUCGGGACAUUGAAAACUGUCUUAUACACUAGUGAGGACGAUUGCAUGCCUGAGUGGAAAUGAAUCAAAAUGUCGUCUAUUUCCCUGACACUGGAAAAUGAGGGAAUAGUAUUCUCCUGAGAUGAACCUAGUUCCUGCCCAGCAUCCCUGACCCUGGCUGCUAGAGCAAGUCCCGAAGCCCUCGCUGCAGGACUGGAGCCUGGCACUCUCCGGGACGAGGCUGCCUACUGUCCACAGAGAACUCUCAGGUGAAGCCGAAGUGCAGAGACCCCCAUCAACGAUAUGCAGACACAGGUCCCUCUCUCCUGACUGGGGACCCAAGUUCUCUUCCUAUCCCUUCAUGCCUGCAAAUCGCUUUUCCCUCUUGAGGUCUCCUCUGUGAAAGGAGGAGGUGGAAUGAGUCCGAGCCUAGGGCCCUCCGGGUCUGAGACUCCCACAGCCCAAUUCACCGAGGACACGUCCUUUGAAGGCACACCAAAGACGGCCACCGGCUCUGCAGGGCGUCUGAACGAGAGGCAGCUAAGCAAGGUGGAUCAUUUCAGGUUGAGGUUUAGGGGUUCCUUUGCUUCUCCUUUCUCACAUUUUGUUUUCUUACUGAUGCUCAGAGGUGGGUAAGGAAGAGAGAAGCCACCAGAACCUGAACCCAUCGGGAAGUCUAAUAAAGAUCGGGUGAACAUAGAGUCUAAAAACUUGAGACUAAAUUGGCUUCUUUCCCUUUGGAACCCAAAAUCACACCUCUGUGUAGUGCCCACACUGACCCAAUCAGAACUGGCUACCAGAUUCAGAAAUCUGUUACAUGUGUUCAAGUAGUUUGUUACAGUAAUUGAAAACAUUUCUUGUAAAACACUUUGGAUUUGGCACACUAAAUGGUGAGUCUUUGCCAGCACCCAGAGGGGAACUCAGUUUGGAUAAUACCGCAUUGUAGCAAAUGCCAAGAUGCCUCAUUCUCCAGGCUCUUCCCUCCCUGGGGGACGGUGGGUAGGGCAGGGAUUUGUUCACUGUCUGCAGUGAACGGUCCUGAGGAACAGGUGUUUCCUGGUCUUCAGUCAUUUACUCAGGAGAGAAAAAACGUGGGCGCUGUUCUCUCAUGGGUGAGAGGGGGUAAAUGCCGAACAAAGCUGUAAUGGAUCUGAUAGCUUCACCCAGCAGCAGUCAGGGGCAUGGCACACAGUAGGUGUCUUACUCUGGGGCCGUAGGGCAUUAUGUUUUAACCAACACCCUCUGACCAUACGUCCAGUCAGUGCAGGGUUUCUGCUCCCGUUCAGAUGGGCGAGAAACGAGAGCCUCCCAGCGCUGUCCCGGUUGCCAAUGGGAACUUUUUAGCAUGAGGUGUAAUAAUUGUAUUCAUCUUUUUAAAGUGGCUCAGUGAGUUUAUUGCAUUUUUUCCAUUACCAUGUGUUAUCCUUAUACUCACCCUUCUCCGCCCUAUAGUUGCCACGCUUGUCCAUAUCCAUGAGUCUAUUCAUAUUUUCUUGUGCUGUUAAGAUUAUUUCAGAGCCAGGCACCUACUAUAUGCAAGCUUGAUAAACAGCAGAAUUUCACAAAUUCUAUAGCUUGGUGAGUUUCUAGCUAUAUUUGUUCAUUUAUUUCUUUUACUUUUUAUAGAAGGCAAGAAAUAAAAACAUUUCUAAAAGCUUCUCUACUGUCAAAAUAUUUCUCACUGAAAUGGCAACUAUGGUGAUUCACAGGAGCUUCUGGGGGCUUCAGGUGCACCUGCCAGCAGCUUGCAUUGCUCUUGCUGGGAACAGCGAGCUGCUUUGUGCUGGGGAACGAAAUGCAAGUGAGUCACCACCCAACGUCUCCCCCUUAGCUUUAUGUUCAAGGAAACUCGGAAUUCAACCUGUCCUAUAAUAGUAAUGAUUUUUGUUGAUACUCUCAGCUCUCUCAAGUGGCUUUACCUUUAAAUAAAUUCCUAAAGGGCACCUCACAUCUCAUUUUUGAAGUAUAUAGAAACUCAAUAAAACCAGCACUCCUCUAACCAAGUUACCUUCCUUCCUUAUUCAUUUCUGGUUUGCCUGUCUUGGGCUGGGGGGUAGGGAUGGUUCUGAUACCCGUCUUAUCAACAAUGACCAUGCCUGAGCAGAUAUGGCCCAGAGAGGAAGGACUAG